rnacentral:rRNA from 1 species
AUACGCGGGCUGAGACCAUGUCUCCCGAAUAAUCUCGGUACAUAUGGCGUCAGAUGGUUUGACAUCUCGAGGGCAGAGUGGGCUCGGGUCUUGUUCCAUCUCACAGUCAUUUCCACGUCU